UAUAUAUUGAAAGUUGAUUACACCGUACGACCGACGGCGGGUUGGGUCCUGCCAACUAGACCCCUCCUCAUCCAGUCACCCAACAUCCGUAGAGACAGAUCAGCCACCACCACCAUCCCAGCAUGCGAAACUUAGUCCAUCAACUAGACAUCAUCUCCACACCUCAGCAGCAUUAGUAAACCUAGACCUCCCGAACAAUGUCGGGGUUCUGACCAGGAACCGAACCCGGAACCUUCAUAUACACAAAGGCGCCACCAGACCAGACCAAACAUUUGGAACCAUUUCUCAAUUUGUGCGUGUCAUACAUGUGCACGGCCCGAAAGCCACACCCUCCCUGCAUCACUGUACAUGAUCGUGCGACUUGCCGCCGGAGCAUCCCACAGGAGCGACUUUGUGUACCAUGUAUGAUGUGUGGGACAGGGGGGCAUAUCUUCACUCGUGGCCGCUACACGGCGAAACCCUGCCUUCCCCAGUAUUUCGGGGCAUCCUCACCUAGUCACAUGAGUCAACUUCUAAGUGGAUCAAUUAG
rnacentral:lncRNA from 1 species